rnacentral:rRNA from 1 species
GGCGGACGGGUGAGUAACGCGUAAAGAACUUGCCCUUUAGACUGGGAUAACAGAGGGAAACUUCUGAUAAUACUGGAUAAGUUAGUAUAUCGCAUGAUAUGCAAAUGAAAGCUACGGCACUAAAGGAGAGCUUUGCGUCCUAUUAGCUAGUUGGUAAGGUAAGAGCUUACCAAGGCGAUGAUAGGUAGCCGGCCUGAGAGGGUGGACGGCCACAAGGGGACUGAGAUACGGCCCUUACUCCUACGGGAGGCAGCAGGG